rnacentral:rRNA from 1 species
UACGUAGGGUGCGAGCGUUAAUCGGAAUUACUGGGCGUAAAGCGUGCGCAGGCGGUUCGUUGUGUCGGCGGUGAAAGCCCCGGGCUCAACCUGGGAAUGGCCGUUGAAACUGGCGAACUGGAGUGUGGCAGAGGGUCGUGGAAUGCCCGGUGUAGCGGUGAAAUGCGUAGAGAUCGGGCGGAACACCAGAGGCGAAGGCGGCGACCUGGACAGUGACUGACACUCAACAACGAAAGCGUGGGAGCAAACAGG